rnacentral:rRNA from 1 species
GGGUUGUGAGGUUAAGCGACUAAGCGUACACGGUGGAUGCCCUGGCAGUCAGAGGCGAUGAAGGACGUGCUAAUCUGCGAUAAGCGUCGGUAAGGUGAUAUGAACCGUUAUAACCGGCGAUUUCCGAAUGGGGAAACCCAGUGUGAUUCGUCACACUAUCAUUAACUGAAUCCAUAGGUUAAUGAGGCGAACCGGGGGAACUGAAACAUCUAAGUACCCCGAGGAAAAGAAAUCAACCGAGAUUCCCCCAGUAGCGGCGAGCGAACGGGGAGCAGCCCAGAGCCUGAAUCAGUGUGUGUGUUAGUGGAAGCGUCUGGAAAGGCGCGCGAUACAGGGUGACAGCCCCGUACACAAAAAUGCACAUGCUGUGAGCUCGAUGAGUAGGGCGGGACACGUGGUAUCCUGUCUGAAUAUGGGGGGACCAUCCUCCAAGGCUAAAUACUCCUGACUGACCGAUAGUGAACCAGUACCGUGAGGGAAAGGCGAAAAGAACCCCGGCGAGGGGAGUGAAAAAGAACCUGAAACCGUGUACGUACAAGCAGUGGGAGCACGCUUAGGCGUGUGACUGCGUACCUUUUGUAUAAUGGGUCAGCGACUUAUAUUCUGUAGCAAGGUUAACCGAAUAGGGGAGCCGAAGGGAAACCGAGUCUUAACUGGGCGUUAAGUUGCAGGGUAUAGACCCGAAACCCGGUGAUCUAGCCAUGGGCAGGUUGAAGGUUGGGUAACACUAACUGGAGGACCGAACCGACUAAUGUUGAAAAAUUAGCGGAUGACUUGUGGCUGGGGGUGAAAGGCCAAUCAAACCGGGAGAUAGCUGGUUCUCCCCGAAAGCUAUUUAGGUAGCGCCUCGUGAAUUCAUCUCCGGGGGUAGAGCACUGUUUCGGCAAGGGGGUCAUCCCGACUUACCAACCCGAUGCAAACUGCGAAUACCGGAGAAUGUUAUCACGGGAGACACACGGCGGGUGCUAACGUCCGUCGUGAAGAGGGAAACAACCCAGACCGCCAGCUAAGGUCCCAAAGUCAUGGUUAAGUGGGAAACGAUGUGGGAAGGCCCAGACAGCCAGGAUGUUGGCUUAGAAGCAGCCAUCAUUUAAAGAAAGCGUAAUAGCUCACUGGUCGAGUCGGCCUGCGCGGAAGAUGUAACGGGGCUAAACCAUGCACCGAAGCUGCGGCAGCGACGCUGAUGCGUUGUUGGGUAGGGGAGCGUUCUGUAAGCCUGCGAAGGUGUGCUGUGAGGCAUGCUGGAGGUAUCAGAAGUGCGAAUGCUGACAUAAGUAACGAUAAAGCGGGUGAAAAGCCCGCUCGCCGGAAGACCAAGGGUUCCUGUCCAACGUUAAUCGGGGCAGGGUGAGUCGACCCCUAAGGCGAGGCCGAAAGGCGUAGUCGAUGGGAAACAGGUUAAUAUUCCUGUACUUGGUGUUACUGCGAAGGGGGGACGGAGAAGGCUAUGUUGGCCGGGCGACGGUUGUCCCGGUUUAAGCGUGUAGGCUGGUUUUCCAGGCAAAUCCGGAAAAUCAAGGCUGAGGCGUGAUGACGAGGCACUACGGUGCUGAAGCAACAAAUGCCCUGCUUCCAGGAAAAGCCUCUAAGCAUCAGGUAACAUCAAAUCGUACCCCAAACCGACACAGGUGGUCAGGUAGAGAAUACCAAGGCGCUUGAGAGAACUCGGGUGAAGGAACUAGGCAAAAUGGUGCCGUAACUUCGGGAGAAGGCACGCUGAUAUGUAGGUGAAGUCCCUCGCGGAUGGAGCUGAAAUCAGUCGAAGAUACCAGCUGGCUGCAACUGUUUAUUAAAAACACAGCACUGUGCAAACACGAAAGUGGACGUAUACGGUGUGACGCCUGCCCGGUGCCGGAAGGUUAAUUGAUGGGGUUAGCGCAAGCGAAGCUCUUGAUCGAAGCCCCGGUAAACGGCGGCCGUAACUAUAACGGUCCUAAGGUAGCGAAAUUCCUUGUCGGGUAAGUUCCGACCUGCACGAAUGGCGUAAUGAUGGCCAGGCUGUCUCCACCCGAGACUCAGUGAAAUUGAACUCGCUGUGAAGAUGCAGUGUACCCGCGGCAAGACGGAAAGACCCCGUGAACCUUUACUAUAGCUUGACACUGAACAUUGAGCCUUGAUGUGUAGGAUAGGUGGGAGGCUUUGAAGUGUGGACGCCAGUCUGCAUGGAGCCGACCUUGAAAUACCACCCUUUAAUGUUUGAUGUUCUAACGUUGACCCGUGAUCCGGGUUGCGGACAGUGUCUGGUGGGUAGUUUGACUGGGGCGGUCUCCUCCUAAAGAGUAACGGAGGAGCACGAAGGUUGGCUAAUCCUGGUCGGACAUCAGGAGGUUAGUGCAAUGGCAUAAGCCAGCUUGACUGCGAGCGUGACGGCGCGAGCAGGUGCGAAAGCAGGUCAUAGUGAUCCGGUGGUUCUGAAUGGAAGGGCCAUCGCUCAACGGAUAAAAGGUACUCCGGGGAUAACAGGCUGAUACCGCCCAAGAGUUCAUAUCGACGGCGGUGUUUGGCACCUCGAUGUCGGCUCAUCACAUCCUGGGGCUGAAGUAGGUCCCAAGGGUAUGGCUGUUCGCCAUUUAAAGUGGUACGCGAGCUGGGUUUAGAACGUCGUGAGACAGUUCGGUCCCUAUCUGCCGUGGGCGCUGGAGAAYUGAGGGGGGCUGCUCCUAGUACGAGAGGACCGGAGUGGACGCAUCACUGGUGUUCGGGUUGUCAUGCCAAUGGCACUGCCCGGUAGCUAAAUGCGGAAGAGAUAAGUGCUGAAAGCAUCUAAGCACGAAACUUGCCCCGAGAUGAGUUCUCCCUGACYCYUURAGRGUCCUGAAGGAACGUUGAAGACGACGACGUUGAUAGGCCGGGUGUGUAAGCGCAGCGAUGCGUUGAGCUAACCGGUACUAAUGAACCGUGAGGCUUAACCUUACAACGCCGAAGRUGUU